CAGAAUUUGACAUGUGUGAAAGCAGACAGUUUGUUGGUUUGCUGACACGUCACCACAGAAGUCACGGUUAUAUUUGCACUCGCUGUAAACUGAAGGUGGGAAGCCGUUCUUACAACUCAGCCCUUCAGCCAGCAGGGGGAGCGGUGUGGCCACGCUCUUCCGCCUGAGGAGCUCCCGGCCGUGUCAGGGACAGAAGACGAAAAGUGCCUCAGACCACAGAGCAGGUCAAAGAAAGUGCUGAAUGAGAAAAGCUGAUGGUUAACUCUGGAUUCUGUGUGGCCUCGGUGUCUAUCACAGACAGAUUCUCUCCUGUGCUCAGUCAGGUCAGUCGUAUUUAUUCAGCCCAACAAGACAAAGAUCCAGAAAACAGAAGACAAGCAUUAAAACAGACACAGAGGCAGAUACGACUGUACACUGAUACCACGAACACUCCCUGAGUGUUUGAUGUUAUUUUUAUUUUUUUUAUAAAAACCAAGCAGAAGAUUUAAUUUGAGUCUUUUCUCACUGAAGCAUGACGUCUGUGGAUCAUAAUGUCCACAAACAUGGACGAUGACAUCAUCGUUAAUGGGAGGAGCUCAGAGGAGCCCAGCCCUGCCGGAUAUCUGUGUGUUAGAGAGAUUAGUCCAGUAAGAUGAAGAGUGUUCUUACCCGGGCAGCACCCAGGUGAGCAGUGAGGCCUUUACCAGUUCUCUCCAGGACAGCUGGAGCAAUUCAAAGGAGACAGCUAAGAAUCUCUGACCAGGUAAGACUGGGAGCUGUUCAGAAGCCAGGAAAACAAAAUGUCAGCAAACUUGGCCACAGACGACAGUCCGGCUGUGUGUUGCUGGUCCUAAAGUAUAGGUGAGGGAUGACCUGGAUGAAGACAGGUGAGUCUGCUGAAGAGCGGGACCUGGGAGGCCCCACCAGCAGGCGGAGCUCAGAGCAAACCCAGCUCACCUUUACCUGCGGAGCAGUAUGAGAACACAGGAAGGCCUCGUACCUCGUCCAGUUUUAUUUAAUGAAUGGGGAUGUUAAACAUGGAUCCUUUUUUAUUAUCUUCUUCUUCUUAAACUCUGUUGACUGCUUGGUUUCAGGCCUCUUGACUGAACUUUGCCAGUUGUAAGGGAGUUCUUCCCACCAUCACCAGGUGAUGCUCACAGCGAAUCAAUCUGAUGGAGCUUUGAGGUUGAUGUUAAUUAGUGCUAUGCAAAUAAAACUGAACUGAAAUGUGAAAUAUACUUGAAAAUGAUUGGAUGUAGCCUCACAAUAAUGCUGUCAGCUUUAGCUCAGCGUAUGCCAUAAACACACACACAUACACACACACCUGUCCGCAGGUAAACAGUAACAGGUAAUUUAUGUGUGUGUGUGUGUGUCCUAUGGUUUGGGCUGAGGUGGGGUUGGGUGUAGUUAUUGCUGUCACGUCCUGUCCCGGGCGCCAAAGCAAACAGAAGCAUCAGCAGGAGGUUACAGACAGUCGGGGAAAUGUGCAGUUUGACAGACGAGAGCAAACAAGCAGUCCGGCCUGUGGCUUCGCAUCUCUCUGGGAGUCCCUGCCGUAUAUUUCCUCCACGUUUGGUGGAAAUUCAUGUGGACCGUUGCCCAGAAUUCAUACGCCGGGAAACGUAAAGUACAUGGAUGUGAGCUAACACCAUCCUCCCACAGCACAGCGGAACAGAAACAGGUGGAGGUAGCGACAGCAAGUUAUCUGCAGAGGUUUGUGUGUGAUGAAGUGAGACAGAGCCAGUAUUUUAAAGUGUCAGAAAUUGACAAUCAGAAAUUGACACGAAAAGCUCUUUAAUAUUUUCACUUAGGAACAUCACCUGCAUCUUUAAGCUUUGAAAAAAAAUGAAAAAAAGAAAGAGUCUGUUUUGCAGCUGUUGCUACAAAAUUGUCAUUUCAUGUCAAACUGUUAUUUUUGGAUUUUUCAUAGAUUCAACAAAAGAAAUGUGAACAAAUGAUGAAAACACCGGUUAAUAGGGAUGUAAGAAAAUAUCGAUACAACGAAAUAUCGCGAUAUUUCGCGCAAUGAUACUGAAUUGAUAUUUAAAAUCAGUGUUAUCAUUUUUUUUAAUUGAAAAAUGACAUGCAUUUACUGUUUAUUUCUUUUGUAUGUUGGAAUUCAAACUCCGGCCACUGGUUUGCAGUUUUCACCGCCUUUACUAUAACGUAAAAACGAGGUCUCACGAUAACUGUAGAAGCGUCUAGUUUGCCAAAAGAACGAAGUAGAACAGUCAGUGGACGUGUGUGAUGCUAGCUAACUGAUGACUGAAGAGGAGAGGAUACAGCCGGCCCCCGCAGCUUUCAAAGCUGAUGUGUGGACUUAUUUUGGAUUUAGGACAAAAGAAGGCAGUAAAGACUAUGACAAGAGCUAUGCAGUCUGUAAAAUCUGCACCGCCAGAGUCAAAUAUUCCGGUAACACAACAAAUUUACGAACACACGUGUCUAGACACCAUAGCGACGUAGCGUCAAAUGCUAAUUUUAAAACGAAACGAGGUGAUCCCUCUCAACGGACAAUUGAAGAAGUUAACUUUUCGAAACUACCAGCAACUUCAACUGCAACAAAAAUAAUGCAGUCAGUACUUGUUUUUAUUUGCAAAGACAUGCGCCCUUUGAGUGUUGUGGAGAAUAAAGGAUUUCGUAAUAUGAUUAAAACGCUGGAGCCCCGUUACACCGUUCCUUCUCGACAACACAUCACGGACAUCGCUCUGCCAAAAGUUGUACCAAGAAGUCGAAGCGACAGUGCUGGACUCUCUCAGCUCGGCUGAGACAGUUGCUCUGACAUGCGACGCUUGGACUUCGAGAGCCACUGAAUCGUACGUAACUGUUACAGCACAUCACAUAACGGACCAGUGGAACCUUCAGUCUCAUGUACUACAAACCCGAGCCAUGCAUGACAGUCACACAGGUGAGCACAUUGCAGCGUUACUAACUGACGCUGUGGCUGAAUGGGGAUUGAACGCAAAGGACCUUGUUGUUGUUACCGAUAAUGCACCAAACAUGGCUCUCGCGGCUAGACUUGCAGGCAUGACGCACAUACAAUGUUUUGCACACAGUCUGAAUCUCGCCUCACAGAAAGCACUGAAAAUACAAUGUGUGGUGCGACUUCUCGGGAGGAUCCGACGUGUAACAGCCUUUUUCAGGCGCAGCACCACAGCCAGCAAUCAGUUGAAGCAGAAACAGUGCCUCCUUCAGCUACCAGCUCACAGAUUGAUCACGGACAUAAUUACAAGAUGGAACAGCUCCUAUGAUAUGAUAGAACGAUUUUUAGAACAGCAACCAGCCAUCUGUGCAGCUCUGCUUUCUGCAGAAGUUAGGAAGAGUGAAAAAGAAAUUUUCACAUUAAGUGAGUCUGACAUCACAUGUGCAGAAGAAGUUGUCAGGGCACUCAAGCCUAUGAAGGACGCCACCCUGGUGAUGUCAGAGGAGAGUAUGCCAACCCUGCUCCUCUUCAUGCCAAGCUUGUGAUGGAUGCACAAGAAAGUGUUGAUGAUACACCGAUAGUAAGGGACAUUAAGACUGCCAUAGCAGAAGAUCUGGGAAAGAGAUAUGUAAAUGAAAGGGAGACACUAUGGAUGGCAUCAACUGUUGAUCCUCGGUUUAAGGACCUGCCCUUCCUGUCUGAAGCAGAGACCAGUGAGACCUAUUCCAGACUGUUGGACACAGUGGUGACUGUGAUAAAGAAGGAAGAAAAUCAGCAAAAGAAUGAGGAGACUGACAAACAGGUGGAGGAAGAGAAUGCCACAGAGGAGGCUCAUCACCCACAUAUCAAAGACAACUUUGACUCCAUCCCUCGGCCACCCCUAAAGAGACAGAGGACCUCAUGUGCAUUGGUGGACUUGUUCGGAGCUACGUUUACCUCUACUAGUGACAAUACUGCACCAAAAUCAGAACAUGAUGUUGCUGCAGCUGAGAUCAAGAGGUAUAGAGAUGAGACUCCUUUGCCUCUCACAGGAAAUCCUCUCAGUUGGUGAAAGGACCAUGAACAGGAAUACCCUCAGCUAUCCAAAGUAGCAAGAAGUUUCCUAUGCAUUCCUGGAACAAGUGUCUCUGCAGAGAGAGUUUUCUCCUCUGCAGGAGACAUAGUAAAUGCACAGAGAAGUGUCCUGAGAGCUGACCAUGUCGAUCAGCUUGUAUUCCUGCACAAAAAUCUGGAAAUUGAAAAAUAAACACUGAGAAAACACUACACAUGUAAAAUCUCUGAUAUGAGAAUGUUUGACAUUUUGGUUGAGUCUCAUAAGCACUUUUAUUUAGAUGAGUAAAUUCCUUUUUUCAGGUUGUACUAAAAGUGUUCCAUUGAUGGACACUGCAGAGCUGUACUUUAUUUUAUUAAGACUUAAUUGUAAUAGCACUUUACAUUUUUUGUUAAUGUUUACAAGCAAUUUCAUUUUUGAUUUAUAUUUGUUUAUGUUAAGGUCACAUAAAAAGUACUUUGUUUUGAUGCUCCAUAGAGCAGUUUUUGGAUAAGUAUUUUACAAUCAUAGUACUUAGAAAGACUUCAGUGUUACAUGUUUACUUUUUUCAUGUUAAAAAAUACUUGAUAUUUCAGUAAAGUAGUUUUGUUUGUUUAUUUGACAUGACUUCUAAUAAGGCAGAUGUGAAUUUCUCCAUUCAUUUUGAACUUAGAGAGUGUUUUUGUUUCAGAUGU
ensembl:lncRNA